CCAUUAGGAGAUGGCAAUUUGUAUGCCGUGCUAAGCCACAACUCACUUAAUGAAGAAGAGGAAGAUGGAAAAUAAAUAUGGGAAGCAGGAUGAUGAUGGAGGAGAAGGAGCAGGAGGAAGAGGAGGAGGCAAAAAGUUGAUCCAUCAUGAAUCACAGCCAGUUUUGACAUGACGAAAUGUGCUGUCAAAAUACUGUCAAUCAGGAUUAAAGAAAAUUAUUGCUGAAAAGCAUUCCAUAUGGAAUAAAGAUUGAAUGGAUCCAUUUUUUUUUUUUUUUUUU